rnacentral:rRNA from 1 species
UACGAAGGGGGCUAGCGUUGCUCGGAAUCACUGGGCGUAAAGGGUGCGUAGGUGGUCCGUUAAGUCAGUUGUGAAAUCCCCGGGCUCAACCCGGGAACUGCUUCUGAUACUGGCGGACUUGAGGCCAGUAGGGGUCACUAGAACUGACGGUGGAGCGGUGAAAUGCGUAGAUAUCGUCAGGAAUGCCGGUGGUGAAGACGGGUGACUGGGCUGGUUCUGACACUGAGGCACGAAAGCGUGGGGAGCGAACGGGG